GACGAACGCUGGCGGCGUGCUUAACACAUGCAAGUCGAACGGAAAGGCCCUGCUUUUGUGGGGUGCUCGAGUGGCGAACGGGUGAGUAACACGUGAGUAACCUGCCCUUGACUUUGGGAUAACUUCAGGAAACUGGGGCUAAUACCGGAUAGGAGCUCCUGCUGCAUGGUGGGGGUUGGAAAGUUUCGGCGGUUGGGGAUGGACUCGCGGCUUAUCAGCUUGUUGGUGGGGUAGUGGCUUACCAAGGCUUUGACGGGUAGCCGGCCUGAGAGGGUGACCGGCCACAUUGGGACUGAGAUACGGCCCAGACUCCUACGGGAGGCAGCAGUGGGGAAUAUUGCACAAUGGGCGGAAGCCUGAUGCAGCAACGCCGCGUGCGGGAUGACGGCCUUCGGGUUGUAAACCGCUUUCGCCUGUGACGAAGCGUGAGUGACGGUAAUGGGUAAAGAAGCACCGGCUAACUACGUGCCAGCAGCCGCGGUGAUACGUAGGGUGCGAGCGUUGUCCGGAUUUAUUGGGCGUAAAGGGCUCGUAGGUGGUUGAUCGCGUCGGAAGUGUAAUCUUGGGGCUUAACCCUGAGCGUGCUUUCGAUACGGGUUGACUUGAGGAAGGUAGGGGAGAAUGGAAUUCCUGGUGGAGCGGUGGAAUGCGCAGAUAUCAGGAGGAACACCAGUGGCGAAGGCGGUUCUCUGGGCCUUUCCUGACGCUGAGGAGCGAAAGCGUGGGGAGCGAACAGGCUUAGGUACCCUGGUAGUCCACGCUGUAAACGGUGGGUACUAGGUGUGGGGUCCAUUCCACGGGUUCCGUGCCGUAGCUAACGCUUUAAGUACCCCGCCUGGGGAGUACGGCCGCAAGGCUAAAACUCAAAGGAAUUGACGGGGCCCCGCACAAGCGGCGGAGCAUGCGGAUUAAUUCGAUGCAACGCGUAGAACCUUACCUGGGUUUGACAUGGAUCGGGAGUGCUCAGAGAUGGGUGUGCCUCUUUUGGGGUCGGUUCACAGGUGGUGCAUGCCUGUCGUCAGCUCGUGUCGUGAGAUGUUGGGUUAAGUCCCGCAACGAGCGCAACCCUUGUUCACUGUUGCCAGCACGUUAUGGUGGGGACUCAGUGGAGACCGCCGGGGUCAACUCGGAGGAAGGUGGGGAUGACGUCAAGUCCUCAUGCCCCUUAUGUCCAGGGCUUCACGCAUGCUACAAUGGCUGGUACAGAGAGUGGCGAGCCUGUGAGGGUGAGCGAAUCUCGGAAAGCCGGUCUCAGUUCGGAUUGGGGUCCGCAACUCGACCUCAUGAAGUCGGAGUCGCUAGUAAUCGCAGAUCAGCAACGCUGCGGUGAAUACGUUCCCGGGGCU
rnacentral:rRNA from 1 species